rnacentral:rRNA from 1 species
UCAGAGGCGAUGAAGGGCGUGCUAAUCUGCGAUAAGCGCCGGUAAGGUGAUAUGAACCGUUAUAACCGGCGAUACCCGAAUGGGGAAACCCAGUGUGAUUCGUCACACUAUCAUUAACUGAAUCCAUAGGUUAAUGAGGCGAACCGGGGGAACUGAAACAUCUAAGUACCCCGAGGAAAAGAAAUCAACCGAGAUUCCCCCAGUAGCGGCGAGCGAACGGGGAGGAGCCCAGAGCCUGAAUCAGCAUGUGUGUUAGUGGAAGCGUCUGGAAAGGCGCGCGAUACAGGGUGACAGCCCCGUACACAAAAGCGCAUGUGCUGUGAGCUCGAUGAGUAGGGCGGGACACGUGGUAUCCUGUCUGAAUAUGGGGGGACCAUCCUCCAAGGCUAAAUACUCCUGACUGACCGAUAGUGAACCAGUACCGUGAGGGAAAGGCGAAAAGAACCCCGGCGAGGGGAGUGAAAAAGAACCUGAAACCGUGUACGUACAAGCAGUGGGAGCACCCUUUGGGUGUGACUGCGUACCUUUUGUAUAAUGGGUCAGCGACUUAUAUUCUGUAGCAAGGUUAACCGAAUAGGGGAGCCGGAGGGAAACCGAGUCUUAACCGGGCGUUAAGUUGCAGGGUAUAGACCCGAAACCCGGUGAUCUAGCCAUGGGCAGGUUGAAGGUUGGGUAACACUAACUGGAGGACCGAACCGACUAAUGUUGAAAAAUUAGCGGAUGACCUGUGGCUGGGGGUGAAAGGCCAAUCAAACCGGGAGAUAGCUGGUUCUCCCCGAAAGCUAUUUAGGUAGCGCCUCGUGAAUUCAUCUCCGGGGGUAGAGCACUGUUUCGGCUAGGGGGCCAUCCCGGCUUACCAACCCGAUGCAAACUGCGAAUACCGGAGAAUGUUAUCACGGGAGACACACGGCGGGUGCUAACGUCCGUCGUGAAGAGGGAAACAACCCAGACCGCCAGCUAAGGUCCCAAAGUCAUGGUUAAGUGGGAAACGAUGUGGGAAGGCCCAGACAGCCAGGAUGUUGGCUUAGAAGCAGCCAUCAUUUAAAGAAAGCGUAAUAGCUCACUGGUCGAGUCGGCCUGCGCGGAAGAUGUAACGGGGCUAAACCAUGCACCGAAGCUGCGGCAGCGACACUGUGUGUUGUUGGGUAGGGGAGCGUUCUGUAAGCCUGUGAAGGUGUGUCGUGAGGCAUGCUGGAGGUAUCAGAAGUGCGAAUGCUGACAUAAGUAACGAUAAAGCGGGUGAAAAGCCCGCUCGCCGGAAGACCAAGGGUUCCUGUCCAACGUUAAUCGGGGCAGGGUGAGUCGACCCCUAAGGCGAGGCCGAAAGGCGUAGUCGAUGGGAAACGGGUUAAUAUUCCCGUACUUGGUGUUACUGCGAAGGGGGGACGGAGAAGGCUAUGUUGGCCGGGCGACGGUUGUCCCGGUUUAAGCGUGUAGGUGUGUGUUCCAGGUAAAUCCGGUUCACUUUAACACUGAGGCGUGACGACGAGGCACUACGGUGCUGAAGCAACAAAUGCCCUGCUUCCAGGAAAAGCCUCUAAGCAUCAGGUAACAUCAAAUCGUACCCCAAACCGACACAGGUGGUCAGGUAGAGAAUACCAAGGCGCUUGAGAGAACUCGGGUGAAGGAACUAGGCAAAAUGGUGCCGUAACUUCGGGAGAAGGCACGCUGACACGUAGGUGAAGUGAUUUACUCAUGGAGCUGAAGUCAGUCGAAGAUACCAGCUGGCUGCAACUGUUUAUUAAAAACACAGCACUGUGCAAACACGAAAGUGGACGUAUACGGUGUGACGCCUGCCCGGUGCCGGAAGGUUAAUUGAUGGGGUCAGCGCAAGCGAAGCUCCUGAUCGAAGCCCCGGUAAACGGCGGCCGUAACUAUAACGGUCCUAAGGUAGCGAAAUUCCUUGUCGGGUAAGUUCCGACCUGCACGAAUGGCGUAAUGAUGGCCAGGCUGUCUCCACCCGAGACUCAGUGAAAUUGAACUCGCUGUGAAGAUGCAGUGUACCCGCGGCAAGACGGAAAGACCCCGUGAACCUUUACUAUAGCUUGACACUGAACAUUGAGCCUUGAUGUGUAGGAUAGGUGGGAGGCUUUGAAGUGUGGACGCCAGUCUGCAUGGAGCCGACCUUGAAAUACCACCCUUUAAUGUUUGAUGUUCUAACGUGGACCCGUUACCCGGGUUGCGGACAGUGUCUGGUGGGUAGUUUGACUGGGGCGGUCUCCUCCUAAAGAGUAACGGAGGAGCACGAAGGUUGGCUAAUCCUGGUCGGACAUCAGGAGGUUAGUGCAAUGGCAUAAGCCAGCUUGACUGCGAGCGUGACGGCGCGAGCAGGUGCGAAAGCAGGUCAUAGUGAUCCGGUGGUUCUGAAUGGAAGGGCCAUCGCUCAACGGAUAAAAGGUACUCCGGGGAUAACAGGCUGAUACCGCCCAAGAGUUCAUAUCGACGGCGGUGUUUGGCACCUCGAUGUCGGCUCAUCACAUCCUGGGGCUGAAGUAGGUCCCAAGGGUAUGGCUGUUCGCCAUUUAAAGUGGUACGCGAGCUGGGUUUAGAACGUCGUGAGACAGUUCGGUCCCUAUCUGCCGUGGGCGCUGGAGAACUGAGGGGGGCUGCUCCUAGUACGAGAGGACCGGAGUGGACGCAUCACUGGUGUUCGGGUUGUCAUGCCAAUGGCACUGCCCGGUAGCUAAAUGCGGAAGAGAUAAGUGCUGAAAGCAUCUAAGCACGAAACUUGCCCCGA